CAAGCCUCAUGACCUCAGGACCAAGUCUCUACCUCCUACAUUCCAGCCCCCACAUAGAACAUCGUGGGCAGCAACUGCAUUGUUUUGGUCAUUCUGACACCAGUACGCAGAGACAGUGACCAGCUCAGAGAAGGCUCUUAAUAAAGGAUUGUUGACUGGUUGAUUAUAAUUGAGGUUACAGUCACUAAGCUUCCAUUUCCUAGUCUAAAAACAGGAAUGAUAACUGCUGCCCUACCAACCUCAGAGGGCUAGAAGAGAAGGCACAUGGAAGAAUCCUGCAAAUAAUAAGGUGCUAUGGAAACAUAAGUGAAUACUGAAGUAAGCCUGGAAUCUCUGAGGAUACACCAAAUAACAGCAUGGGAGCCCAGAGGGAAGUCAGUUUGAGAUGGAAUAUCUGCUUCAGGAAGAGGAGCCUCCUGACAUACCACCAGUAUAACCUGUGCUGCCGAGGAUUUCUACACCCAUGGGAAUGGUUUAGGUCUGGGCUAUUCUCAUGCCCUUAUCCAAGGUGACUUCUAUAACUCAUUGGAAGAUGACUGGUUAGAGCAGCAGAAGGGUGGAAGGGAAGCAUGUGCCCUUCAGACUUAUACAACAGAAGGAUCAAUGGAAAUCAUUAGAGUCAGGCUCCAAGCCUGGCUAGAGACUGACAGAAAGUCCCACUGUACCCCA